AUGCUUACUUCGGCAGCACAUAUACUAAAACUGGAACGAUACAGAGGUUAGCAUGGCCCCUGCACAAGGAUGACAUGCAAAUUUGUGAAGCAUUCCAUGGUUUU
ensembl:snRNA U6 U6 spliceosomal RNA